rnacentral:rRNA from 1 species
AUUGAACGCUGGCGGAUUGCCUUACACAUGCAAGUUGAACGGCAGCACGGGAGCUUGCUCCUGGUGGCGAGUGGCGAACGGGUGAGUAAUAUAUCGGAACGUAUCCAAUAAUGGGGGAUAACUAGCCGAAAGGUUAGCUAAUACCGCAUACGCCCUGAGGGGGAAAGCUAGGGAUCUUCGGACCUGGCGUUACUGGAGCGGCCGAUACCUGAUUAGUUAGUUGGUGGGGUAAAGGCCUACCAAGACUUCGAUCAGUAGCUGGUCUGAGAGGACGACCAGCCACACUGGAACUGAGACACGGUCCAGACUCCUACGGGAGGCAGCAGUGGGGAAUUUUGGACAAUGGGCGAAAGCCUGAUCCAGCCAUUCCGCGUGAGUGAAGAAGGCCUUCGGGUUGUAAAGCUCUUUCGCAAGGGAAGAAAACUUACCCUCUAACAUAGGGUGAGGUUGACGGUACCUUGAUAAGAAGCACCGGCUAACUACGUGCCAGCAGCCGCGGUAAUACGUAGGGUGCGAGCGUUAAUCGGAAUUACUGGGCGUAAAGGGUGCGCAGGCGGUUUUGUAAGUCAGAUGUGAAAUCCCCGAGCUCAACUUGGGAACUGCGUUUGAAACUACAAGACUAGAAUAUGUCAGAGGGGGGUAGAAUUCCACGUGUAGCAGUGAAAUGCGUAGAGAUGUGGAGGAAUACCAAUGGCGAAGGCAGCCCCCUGGGAUAAUAUUGACGCUCAUGCACGAAAGCGUGGGGAGCAAACAGGAUUAGAUACCCUGGUAGUCCACGCCCUAAACGAUGUCUAUUAGUUGUUGGUGGAGUAAAAUCCAUGAGUAACGCAGCUAACGCGUGAAGUAGACCGCCUGGGGAGUACGGACGCAAGUUUA